rnacentral:rRNA from 1 species
AGUCGACGAACACUGAAAGCGGAUUACUUCGGUUUGAAGCUUUCCUUUACUGAGUGGCGGACGGGUGAGUAACGCGUGGGUAACCUGCCUCAUACAGGGGGAUAACAGUUAGAAAUGACUGCUAAUACCGCAUAAGCGCGCGGGACUGCAUGGUCUUGUGUGAAAAACUCCGGUGGUAUGAGAUGGACCCGCGUCUGAUUAGCUUGUUGGUGAGGUAACGGCCCACCAAGGCGACGAUCAGUAGCCGGCCUGAGAGGGUGAACGGCCACAUUGGGACUGAGACACGGCCCAAACUCCUACGGGAGGCAGCAGUGGGGAAUAUUGCACAAUGGGGGAAACCCUGAUGCAGCGACGCCGCGUGAAGGAAGAAGUAUUUCGGUAUGUAAACUUCUAUCAGCAGGGAAGAAAAUGACGGUACCUGACUAAGAAGCCCCGGCUAACUACGUGCCAGCAGCCGCGGUAAUACGUAGGGGGCAAGCGUUAUCCGGAUUUACUGGGUGUAAAGGGAGCGUAGGCGGCGAUGCAAGUCAGAAGUGAAAGCCCGGGGCUCAACUCCGGGACUGCUUUUGAAACUGUGUUGCUAGAUUGCAGGAGAGGUAAGUGGAAUUCCUAGUGUAGCGGUGAAAUGCGUAGAUAUUAGGAGGAACACCAGUGGCGAAGGCGGCUUACUGGACUGUAAAUGACGCUGAGGCUCGAAAGCGUGGGGAGCAAACAGGAUUAGAUACCCUGGUAGUCCACGCCGUANACGAUGAAUACUAGGUGUCNGGGAGCAAAGCUCUUUGGUGCCGCAGCAAACGCAAUAAGUAUUCCACCUGGGG